rnacentral:rRNA from 1 species
GUUGUUCACUUCUGUUAUUCAGUUAAUGGAAGAUAAACAGUGUAUAUAGCGAUAUGUGCAUUGGGACUCCGUCUCAUUUACUUUGAAAAAAUUAGAGUGUUCAAAGCAGACAGUAAGUGUCAUUGAAUAGAUUAGCAUGGGAUAAUAGAAUAGGAUCGUGCUCUUAUUUUGUUGGUUUCUAAGAGUGCGGUAAUGAUUAAUAGGGAUAGUCGGGGAGGUCUGUACUCAAUUGUCAGAGGUGAAAUUCUCGGAUUUAUGGAAGACACACAUAGGCGAAAGCAUUCCUCAAGGAUGUUUUCAUUAAUCAAGAACGAAAGUGUGGGGAUCGAAGACGAUCAGAUACCGUCGUAGUCCACACCAUAAACUAUGCCGACCAGAAAUCGAGAGACGUUAACAUUAAUCUGGAUGACUCUCCCGGCGUCUUGUAAGAAAUUAUAAGUGUUUGGGUCCUGGGGGGAGUAUGGUCGCAAGGCUGAAACUUAAAGGAAUUGACGGAAGGGCACCACCAGGGGGUGGAGCCUGCGGCUUAAUUUGACUCAACACGGGAAAACUCACCAGGUCCGGACAUAGGAAGGAUUGACAGAUUUAUAGCUCUUUCUUGAUUCUAUGGGUGGUGGUGCAUGGGCCGUUCUUAGUUGGUGGAGUGAUUUGUCUGGUUAAUUCCGAUAACGAACGAGACCUCUUCCUGCUCAAUAGUCAUGUUAACCCUGCUAUCCAAAACAAUGGUAGAAGCGUGGUUUUCUA